UUCCGCUCCACCGUAUCGGGCGGGUGCCAGGGCCUUCGGUUAGCCGGCGCGGCCGCGCCGAUCGCGCACCGUGUUGCCGGCCGUUCUCUCCGCGCUUGCGCGGGGGUCGGCCGGCCGACGCGGUCGCUCGGCGAUGCUUUCACUUUAGCCGUCCGCCACUUCGGGUCAGCGACGUGCAUCGGCAACCCACCCGACCCGUCUUGAAACACGGACCGAGGAGUCCUGGCCGUUCGCGAGUCGUAGGGGCACAUUCACUAACCCCGGAGGCGUAGCGAAAGCGAGAGAGCGUGUCGGAGGGCUCCGGUUAGGGAGAGGUGUCGCGGCGAAGAGGCGGGCUCGUCCCGCUUCCGAGCUGUGCCCGAUCUCGCCGGGGCGGCGUCCCCGCCAAUCCAAUCCCCGUCGUUAACGUCGUCUCGUGCGGCGACCGGACUCCCGCAAGGGAGGAUGGUCUCGGCGGCGGCGGAGGGGGCGUCACUCUCCUCCUUCCGCCCGACGGUGAGAUCCCGCGCUGGGACUGCCAGCAGCGGGCGCAUCACCCCCGGGUCGGAUUUCCGAGUACGACUCGGCCGACUCUGGUGUAGCGAGCGGCCAGGGACCCGAAAGAUGGCGAUCCACGCCCGGUCGGGAUGAAACCAGAGG
rnacentral:rRNA from 1 species